rnacentral:rRNA from 1 species
UCGCAAUGGCUACCAGAUAAUACAUGCAGUCGAACGAACUUCCGUUAAUUGAUUAUGACGUACUUGUACUGAUUGAGAUUUUAACACGAAGUGAGUGGCGAACGGGUGAGUAACACGUGGGUAACCUGCCCAGAAGUAGGGGAUAACACCUGGAAACAGAUGCUAAUACCGUAUAACAGAGAAAACCGCAUGGUUUUCUUUUAAAAGAUGGCUCUGCUAUCACUUCUGGAUGGACCCGCGGCGUAUUAGCUAGUUGGUGAGGUAAAGGCUCACCAAGGCAGUGAUACGUAGCCGACCUGAGAGGGUAAUCGGCCACAUUGGGACUGAGACACGGCCCAGACUCCUACGGGAGGCAGCAGUAGGGAAUCUUCCACAAUGGACGCAAGUCUGAUGGAGCAACGCCGCGUGAGUGAAGAAGGGUUUCGGCUCGUAAAGCUCUGUUGUUAAAGAAGAACGUGGGUAAGAGUAACUGUUUACCCAGUGACGGUAUUUAACCAGAAAGCCACGGCUAACUACGUGCCAGCAGCCGCGGUAAUACGUAGGUGGCAAGCGUUAUCCGGAUUUAUUGGGCGUAAAGCGAGCGCAGGCGGUCUUUUAAGUCUAAUGUGAAAGCCUUCGGCUCAACCGAAGAAGUGCAUUGGAAACUGGGAGACUUGAGUGCAGAAGAGGACAGUGGAACUCCAUGUGUAGCGGUGAAAUGCGUAGAUAUAUGGAAAGAACACCAGUGGCGAAGGCGGCUGUCUGGUCUGCAACUGACGCUGAGGCUCGAAAGCAUGGGUAGCGAAACAGGAUUAGAUACCCUGGUAGUCCAUGCCGUAAACGAUGAUUACUAAGUGUUGGAAGGUUUCCGCCUUUCAGUGCUGCUGCUUACGCAUUAAG